rnacentral:pre_miRNA from 1 species
UCUUAUAGAUAAAUAAAGAAAGUAGUUUCUUGAGAUGGAAACUACCCCUGGUGAAAAUGUUGUGAA